AUUACUUUGGCAGAUAAGUGCAUUAGAUUUAGGAUCUAAGAAUGGAUGAAUUGAGUCCAGGUAAUA
rnacentral:tRNA from 1 species